GACGAACGCUGGCGGCGUGCUUAACACAUGCAAGUCGAACGAUGAACCAGGGCUUGCCCUGGGGAUUAGUGGCGAACGGGUGAGUAACACGUGGGCAACCUGCCCAGACACCGGGAUAACCUCUCGAAAGAGUGGCUAAUACCGGAUACGACCACUUUGGGCAUCCAACGGUGGUGGAAAGGAUUCUGGUCUGGGAUGGGCCCGCGGCCUAUCAGCUUGUUGGUGGGGUAAUGGCCUACCAAGGCGACGACGGGUAGCCGGCCUGAGAGGGCGACCGGCCACACUGGGACUGAGACACGGCCCAGACUCCUACGGGAGGCAGCAGUGGGGAAUAUUGCGCAAUGGGCGAAAGCCUGACGCAGCGACGCCGCGUGAGGGACGAAGGUCUUCGGAUUGUAAGCCUCUUUCAGCAGGGACGAAGCGAAAGUGACUGUACCUGCAGAAGAAGCACCGGCUAACUACGUGCCAGCAGCCCGCAGUAAGAC
rnacentral:rRNA from 1 species